rnacentral:rRNA from 1 species
GACGAACGCUGGCGGCGUGCUUAACACAUGCAAGUCGAACGGAAAGGCCCUGCUUUUGUGGGGUGCUCGAGUGGCGAACGGGUGAGUAACACGUGAGUAACCUGCCCUUGACUUUGGGAUAACUUCAGGAAACUGGGGCUAAUACCGGAUAGGAGCUCCUGCUGCAUGGUGGGGGUUGGAAAGUUUCGGCGGUUGGGGAUGGACGCGCGGCUUAUCAGCUUGUUGGUGGGGGAGUGGCUUACCAAGGCUUUGACGGGUAGCCGGCCUGAGAGGGUGACCGGCCACAUUGGGCCUGAGAGACGGACCAGACUCCUACGGUAGGCAGCAGUGGGGAAUAUUGCCCAAUGGGCGGACGCCUGAUGCAGCAACGCCGCGGUCGGGAUGACGGCCUUCGGGUUGUAAACCGCUUUCGCCUGUGACGAAGCGUGAGUGACGGUAAUGGGUAAAGAAGCACCGGCUAACUACGUG